rnacentral:misc_RNA from 1 species
UAUGUGUUGGUGGCACUAGGCUCGGAUCAGACAUCAGACGCAUGAUUCGCGGUAACUUACAUAGCCCAGGUCAGUCGAGGUUCGUACAUUCGAUUCACGAGGUAUCCGAUAAGUGCAAUCCGUGACUCGCUGAUGAGAAGAUCGCAGUUUUACCUAAAACUGACGAAGUUUUGUUUCGUCGUCUCGGUAUUUGAUAAAUUUCAGAUAUCUACACCGCAGCUUUGAGGAAUAUCGUCAGAAGCCGUACGCCUCCACUUCGUCUUCGUAAACAAGAAUAGUCGCCGACUUCCUCCGAAUGCUGAAAACAGCGGAGGACGCGAAUCCUGCAGCGAUUUGAGAUUGACUGUAACCCAAAGAUCAGGAUAUCUUCCGUUCAACGAACGACGGAGGGAGUUCGUUAGUCCUUCCAUUUUUCGAGGUAUUCGUCCAUUCCGCGGAAUACCCGAGUCGAUUUCCAUAAAAUACAAACAGUGCCGUUGGCUAUUGAGGCCACAAAUGACGCAUCGGAGUUUGCGCUAGUUCUUUAUUUAACUACAGUAGACAAUGUGUCCGCUAAUAUUUAAUCCGGGCCACUGAUUGACCCCUUUCCGCUCAAGCUCGAUUAUCGAGCAAAAGACCAACUGAUUUGACUUGAAUUUCUUACAGCGGUAUUCGAUGAAUGAUAUGGACCCGCAGUCGGGACACACGUCCGGAAACUUCAUAGCUUUUGGUGACGUAAAUUUAACAGUUAUUGUUUCGCUCCAACAUGAUGCGCAAAUUUGAUCAUCUAUAUGAAGCGAAAUAUUCAAAGUUGAUUUUUCAUUGGCUGACAAUGAAUUAUGUCUAACCCCGGACGUAUGCGCCAAUAA